rnacentral:rRNA from 1 species
AGAACUUAGCAGAGAUGCUUUGGUGCCUUCGGGAACUCUGAGACAGGUGCUGCAUGGCUGUCGUCAGCUCGUGUUGUGAAAUGUUGGGUUAAGUCCCGCAACGAGCGCAACCCUUUAUCCUUUGUUGCCAGCGGUCCGGCCGGGAACUCAAAGGAGACUGCCAGUGAUAAACUGGAGGAAGGUGGGGAUGACGUCAAGUCAUCAUGGCCCUUACGAGUAGGGCUACACACGUGCUACAAUGGCGCAUACAAAGAGAAGCGACCUCGCGAGAGCAAGCGGACCUCAUAAAGUGCGUCGUAGUCCGGAUUGGAGUCUGCAACUUGACUCCAUGAAGUCGGAAUCGCUAGUAAUCGUAGAUCAGAAUGCUACGGUGAAUACGUUCCCGGGCCUUGUACACACCGCCCGUCACACCAUGGGAGUGGGUUGCAAAAGAAGUAGGUAGCUUAACCUUCGGGAGGGCGCUUACCACUUUGUGAUUCAUGACUGGGGUGAAGUCGUAACAAGGUAAGCGUAGCGAG